rnacentral:rRNA from 1 species
GACAGAGGGUGCAAACGUUUGUUCGGAAUUACUGGGCGUAAAGCGCGUGUAGGCGGCUUUGCAAGUCGGGUGUGAAAUCCCACGGCUCAACCGUGGAAGUGCACUCGAAACUGCAAGGCUAGAGUCCUGGAGAGGAAGGUGGAAUGCUUGGUGUAGAGGUGAAAUUCGUAGAUAUCAAGCGGAACACCGGUGGCGAAGGCGGCCUUCUGGACAGUGACUGACGCUGAGACGCGAAAGCGUGGGGAGCAAACAGGG